CCUACGGGUGGCAGCAGUGAGGAAUAUUGGUCAAUGGACGAGAGUCUGACCCAGCCAAGUAGCGUGAAGGAUGACUGCCCUAUGGGUUGUAAACAUCUUUUAUAUGGGAAUAAAAUGUUCCACGUGUGGGAGUUAGUAUGUACCAUAUGAAUAAGGAUCGGCGAACUCCGUGCCAGCAGCUGCGGUAAUACGGAGGAUCCGAGCGUUAUCCGGAUUUAUUGGGUUUAAAGGGAGCGUAGGUGGAUUGUUAAGUCAGUUGUGAAAGUUUGCGGCUCAACCGUAAAAUUGCAGUUGAAACUGGCAGUCUUGAGUACAGUAGAGGUGGGCGGAAUUCGUGGUGUAGCGGUGAAAUGCUUAGAUAUCACGAAGAACUCCGAUUGCGAAGGCAGCUCACUGGACUGCAACUGACACUGAGGCUCGAAAGUGUGGGUAUCAAACAGGAUUAGAUACCCCAGUAGUC
rnacentral:rRNA from 1 species